rnacentral:misc_RNA from 1 species
GUAUGAAUACUUUGAUCCAAAGUCCAGACCAUCCAUCCAACGCCAUGUCUUCUCGUACUAACAACCGCUCAAACAACAGCAGAUGCCCAACUUGUUUUGAUGAGUUGGAUGCAAUGGCGCGGAAUUGUCCCGCCCACAACAACAAUCCCGUGAACGCUGUUUCACGACGCCAGCGACGCAAUGCCGCUAGAGCUGCCGCGUAUCGAAACGCGAAUGCAAGAUUGACGGUGCCCAUUCCAGUGGUACCUGUUUCCCGCCCUCAGGCGAAGACGUCGUUUAGGCUACCCAACAACCAGAUUUGGGUAACUCGCAAAGCGAGUGAAUGGUCCUCCAAGACCGUUGAUACCAACGACGCAAUCCCUUUCAAAACCAUAGUCGAAGGGAUCACCGGAAUCAACGAUGAGACGAAGUUUUACCGUCUCUUAAUUGGUUUUGUCGCCGUCUCUGAUGGGACUUUUGGGAUGGUUGAUGGAGUAACGGGCGAUGUUAUUCCUGACCCACCGGUUGUUGGACGGUUGGGUUUUAAGAAGAAUACGUACCGCAGCCGAGACUUUGAUCUCGGUGGUAAGCUUCUCAACCAGCUAGACGACAGAGCUGUCGUCUGGUGCCUCGACGAGAAGCGUCGAGAGGCCAAGAGGGUUCAGCUGGCAGGUUAUUGGAUUGCCAUUUCCAAACCAGCUCCCUUGAUGCCACCAGAAGAUUUUCUGGUGAAUCAAGAUUGACUAGAUGGUCACCUCGGUAGGACCGAGAUGCCGCGCAUUAGAGGAAAUUCCUGUGCGCGAUGUGGAUACACGCCUCCACGUAUUGUAGAUCAAUACGUUUGGAAGUGUGUCGUGUGUUCCUAUGAACAACAUGCAUAGCUGCCGCGCAUCCGGGCGUGAGUCUAUGAUCCAUGCGAGCAUUCCGAAUCGGACGAUUUCCAUGGGAAACCCAUGAGACCUUUGGGUCGAUGCUUGCGUUUGGUGCCAGUAGUAUAUAAUAUACUACUGAUGCCUCCUUUAUAGGAGAUGC